rnacentral:ncRNA from 1 species
AAAUAAAUUUUUUAUAGUUUAAUAAUUUAUUGUUAAUUUAUUUUACAUAUAAAUUUUAGUGUUAAUUUAUAAAUAUUUGAAAAAUAUUUAUAUAAUAAUGUAGUAAUUAAAUUUAAAAAUUUAAGAAAUUAAGAUUUAGUAAUAUUAAAAUUAAUAACUAAUUUUGUGCCAGCAGUUGCGGUUAUACAAAUAAUUAAAAUAAAUUUUUUCAGUUUAUAUUAAAUAAUAAUUUAAUUAAAUUAAAUAUUAAAUUAUAAGGUGAAAUUUAAAUUUAAUAAAAAUUUAUAUGAAAUUUAUGAAUUAGGAAAUUUAUAAAUAAACUAGGAUUAGAUACCCUAUUAUAAAAUUUUAAUUUUUAUAAAUACUAAAAUAGUAAAUAAUAAUUUAUUGAAACUUAAAUAAUUUGGCGGUAUUUUAGUUCAUUUAGAGGAAUCUGUUUAGUAAUUGAUAAUCCACGAAUAAAUUUACUUAAUUUAAAAUUUUAUAUAUCGUUGUUAAAAAAAUAUUUUUUAAUAAAAAUAAUAUUUUAAAAUUAUAAAAUAAAUUAAUUCAAAUCAAGAUGUAGAUUAUAAUUAAGAAUAUAAUGGAUUACAAUAAAUUUAUUUAAAUGGAAUUUUUUUUUGAAAUAUAAAAGGAAGGUGGAUUUAAAAGUAAUUUUAUUUAAUUUAAUAAAAUGAUUAAAAAUUAAAAUAUGUACAUAUUGCCCGUCACUUUCAUUUAAAAAUUGAAAUAAGUCGUAACAAAGUAGAGGUACUGGAAAGUGUUUCUAGAAUGAA